UGUGUACUCCUCCGUUCCAAAAUACUUGUCUUCCAUUUGUCCAAAAAUGGAUGUACCUAUAUACUAAAACAUAUCUAGAUACAUAUAUAUUUUGACAAAUAGAAGGCAUGUAUUGUGCAACGGAGGGAGUAGAAU
rnacentral:pre_miRNA from 1 species